GGGGUCAUGGCGAAAUUGGUAUACGCGUACGUUUGAGGGGCGUAUGGUUCUCCCGUGAGAGUUCAAGUCUCUCUGACCCCACCA
rnacentral:tRNA from 1 species